UUUCUAGUGCGGUGCACAAGGGCACCCAGUGCGCUCCUGUACGACUGUCUGCGCUUCAAUAUAUUACUUCGGGCACGAGCAUCCCCUGUGCUAGGAGCGACUGCUGUUCUGCAUUCUCUCGCCAGUGGCGUCCUGCUGGUAGACUGGACUCGUCCCUUCGCCCUCCAAUACUUCUGGUUCUGCCUUCCCGUUUUCUAAUGCGGUCCACAAGGGCACCCAGUGCGCUCCUGUACGACUGUCUGCGCUUCAAUAUAUUACUUCGGGCACGAGCCUCCCCUGUGCCAGCAGCGACUGCUGUUCUGCAUUCUCUCGCCGCUGGCGUCCUGAUGGUGGACUGGACUCGUCCCUUCGCCCUCCAAUACUUCUGGUUCUGCCCUCCCGUUUUCUAAUGCGGUCAACAAGGGCACCCAGUGCGCUCCUGUACGACUGUCUGCGCUUCAAUAUAUUACUUCGGGCACGAGCAUCCCCUGUGCCAGGAGCGACUGCUGUUCUGCAUUCUCUCGCCAGUGGCGUCCUGAUGGUGGACUGGACUUAGCGUCGCGCCCUUGCAUUUGAUUCUGGUUCCCAGUGCAUGCUGUCGCUUGUGACGCAAGAGAAAUGUUCCAGCAAGCUCAUCUAUACGACUCCUGGCCUUACCUCAAGAGCGACAGCCCGGUCGUCCUGUCCCAGAAUCUAGAGCACGCUUCCAUGUUCUGAAGGAACUACGUCUCGUCACCGUCCCGCAACCGUCCAUCGGAUCGGCUCCUGGAGUUCUUCACAGCUGAUUUUUUGUUUGCGCAGGCAUAUUUAAUAAGUUUCAUAGAGCAACAAGAUUUUAUGCUCUGAAAGCUUCGUACGUUGCUCACCGAAUGGAUGUCCUGCCCACCGAAGGAGCCCAGUAAAAGGUCUUGUUACGUGGACACCACUGAGUCUUUAAGAAGGGUUGUCAAUGUCUUCAUGAGCUGAUCUGUAAAUUUUUGGUGGCGAGAGCAACGGACAUUCAUUCCCAUUGUGUACUUUCGUAGUAGUACGUUGAUCUUGGUGUGUGUGUGUGUGUGUGUGUGUGUGUGUGUGUCACCAGCUUGCUCGCGUUUUGGUUCGUCCAUUUCGGAUGGGUCACCUACUCUGUGCAUCUUUUGUUCGGUCGAGUACGUGUGGCAUAAGCUGUACUGCUACACGGCGAAAAUGGUAUUUCUUAUAUUUCGGUAGCGUUUCCAGCGUCACAGUUGAUGCUCCAGUUUUUUCCGGUUCAUUCCUGUUGAAAGGUUCCUCGUUUGAUGGUUUACUAUCGUCCGUGGUCAUCUACUUUUGAAUUGGUUGAACGGCUCGUUUCUUUGGCUUUGGUCUUUUGGUUGAUCUCGGUGCUCGCUUCGGCAUUCAGCUGAUUUGUUCAGGCGUCUUUAUGUUAUCGGAAAGGUCUUCAUACAUUCUUCGUUUUUCCACGUCCCUCACCACCGACUCGAAAGGAUCAGCGUGCCACUACUAAAGCACACAAUGUCAAUGAAUGGGAAAGGGGAGGGCGGUUACUCUCGCCAACAAAAAUUUGCUGAUUUUCUCACGAUGUUAAUGACACCCAGCUUUAAGACUGGUUUGUCGUAGAUGUUAUUGUGCUCACCGUUUUAGUUCUUUUUUUUUUUGGUGUGCGGGAAUCAUUACACGAUUUUAUGGAUCUGCAUGGUCCAAUUUGUGCAUUACCUGUCCGUUCAUCGGACUGUGCUACUCGCUGUCGUCGUUUGUUCACCGCGUAUACUGCAUCAGAAUGGCGCCUCAGUUCAUUUAUGCAUGCCUAAUUAUCGCGACUGCGCCAGGUCAGUAGGAAUAGUGAACCCUUGACGUGGCUGUGACGUCGUUACCUGCUGACUGUAGUUCCAAUUACGGAGUUUUGUAAUUUCGUGAUUGACGUGUAUCGAGUGAGCCAUUGUCAGACGGCAGCUUCAAAGGGACUAAAUUUACUCCCCUUUGCUAAGUCGUGUCUAAACGUGUCUAGACAAGUGACGAGCACGCGCAAGGAAAUCGUGAAGAGAAUGUCCGCUUUAGUAUUGUAUUUUGUGUUGAAGCCAGUUACGUUUAAGAGUUCCUCUCGUACUUGCUGUACGUUGUGAAUGUCUUUCCGUAGCACUUCGAAUGUAUUCGAAUGAGUGUUUUGAAUAGUUUUUAAUUCGCAGAUGCUACUGUUGUUACCCUAUAAAAUCGCCAUAUCAGAACGCACAUUUUAUUACCUAUUACUUUGAGUGUUCUCAACCAGUAGUUGUCUCCACGUUGCCUGAUAACUGGAAAAGCGAACACUGCCUUAAAUAAAUGGUUACCUGUACCUCAUUACUCUGCCAUUAGUUUUUUUUUUUUUUUUUGCUGCUUCCAUCCGCUGUGACGGAAAGCCAAGCAACCACAAAUGUACGAUGCUGCACAGUCGAACUCGUUUUUCACGAGGCCUUUCUCCAGGAAGUAACUUUUUAUUUCACUCUUCAGUUCAGACGACACCCUUGCAUUUACGCCACACAAUGCUAGCGAUAGGUUUAUGUUACCACCAGUGUAGGCAUUUGGACUUGUUGGUGCGCCAUCUUGAAGGCCUUUUUUUGUGUAACUAGUUACAUGGACGAAGAGAAAGAACGACCCCCACGCAGCACUCAAUAGUUCGCAAUACGACGGCCGGCUAUCAACUAAAUUGCUGCAUAUUGAGGGGCCAGUGAUUGAGGUGACGUGGUACGUAGGGUCAUCGUGUAGGAAUAGGUGUUUGUCCAGUUGGGUCCUAAAGGCACAGAAGAUGCAAGUUCGAAUAGUGACGUUCUCGUUUGGUGAAAACGAAAAUCGGGGAGAAGUUUUAUUCAUCUCCCAGCGAAGGUGCUGUGCAACGCUUACUCAUUUCAUGUAGUUCGAAUAACUUCACGCUGUCGAGCCUUUGUGCUCGCAAAUAAAGCCCUAAGGCUAUUGGUGUGACUUAUGUAAUGCAGUUAUUAUCGCUUUUAUUUCUGGUGUUCUACGAAAACGGAGCACAAUUCGCACAUGGAAUAACCUACCUGCCAAUGUGGUUGAGUGUUCGACGGUGUCUCCUUUCUUGAGUGCAUUCCGCAAUAGCUAACGAUGCUUCACCUUGUAGUGGCAUAUUGUUUCUACGUCCCUUUGUAUGUCUCACGUGGGCUCUUCUAAUGCCGUACUUGCCUCGACCAAAUGUACAUUGUACUCCUAUAUACUGCAUUGUUAUGUACCCCACUCCUGCGUAAAGCCUGACAUCCAGGCUGACAAUAUGUAGUGUCCGUUUUGCAUUUUUAUACGUGGAAGUACCUUGAAGCUGAGAAAUUCUUUGUGCUAUGUAAAUCCCCUUAUAUAUUCUAUAUGUAUACAUGUACACGUGUGAAUUCAUUUGUUCAUGCUGUGUAAAUAAAUGCACUGUAUGCUGCUUCCUCAUCAUCGGAGAUGAAGCCCAAGUCAGGCAGCAUGGGUAGAUUUUAAUUUCGUUUAAUGUCACGUUUUGCGCUGAUUGUACUGAGAAUUCAUCGCUUUAGACUACACCUUACAGAUCUGUCAAAAUAAAACUUCUCUUGUUCCUGC